AGAGCGACAGUUAAAGCAUCAUGGCAAAGGGUUUCAUGAACUUAAGAAAAGAUUAGAAUCUAGCAUCAACGAUGCCAAAAAGGUGCGGGACUGAUGGUACCCAUAGAUAAGAGGUUGCUAACUCUGUGCCAGCAGCAGCGGUAAUACAGAGACCUCAAGCGUUAUCCGGAAUCAUUGGGCGUAAAGCGUACCGAUAGGUGGUUUUGAAAGUUUUGGGUAAAAGCCAGAAGCUCAACUUCUGAGUUUGCUCAAAAUACUGCAAAACUAGAGGGGCAAAGAGGAGACUGGAACGAACGGUGUAGUAGUGAAAUGCGUUGAUAUCGUUCGGAACACCGAAAGCGAAGGCAGGUCUCUGGGUGCCACCUGACACUGCUAGGACGAAAGCGUGGGGAGCGAAUGGGAUUAGAUACCCCAGUAGUCCACGCUGUAAACGAUGGAUAUUAGGCAUGCGCGAGUAUCGACCCUCGUGCGAGCCGUAGCUAACGCGUUAAAUAUCCCGCCUGUGUAGUACGGCCGCAAGGCUAAAACAUAAAGGAAUUGACGGGGACCCGCACAAGCGGUGGAGCAUGUGGUUUAAUUCGACGAUAAGCGAGGAACCUUACCAGGGUUUGACAUGUAUCUUCAAGCGCACGGAAACGUGUGAUCUUCGAGAGUGAUACACAGGUGCUGCACGGUUGUCGUCAGCUCGUGUCGUGAGAUGUUCCCUUAAGUGGGAGAACGAGCGCAACCCCCAUGUUAUGUUGAUUUUCAUAACAGACUGCCGGCGUUUAAGCUGGAGGAAGGCGGGGAUGACGUCAAAUCAGCGUGGUUUUUACACCCUGGGCGACACACGUGCUACAAUGGGUAGGAACAAAGGGACGCAAUACCGUAAGGUGGAGCAAAUCCUCUCAAAAACUACCCUCAGUUCGGAUUGAGGGCUGCAACUCGCCCUCAUGAAGCUGGAAUCGCUAGUAACCGUAGAUCAGCCUCGCUACGGUGAAUACGUUCUCGGGUUUUGUACACAAAUUAAAGGCGCCUGGCGGCUAUUAAAGCUAAGUGGUUUAAGUCCACUCGCUCGAUUUUCGAGUGUAGCGAACGGGUAGGUCUACUUCCGCG
rnacentral:rRNA from 1 species